rnacentral:rRNA from 1 species
AUGGGAACGCGAAGAACCUUACCUAGACUUGACAUCUCCUGAAUAGUGUAGAGAUACAUGAAGCCCUUCGGGGCAGGAAGACAGGUGGUGCAUGGUUGUCGUCAGCUCGUGUCGUGAGAUGUUGGGUUAAGUCCCGCAACGAGCGCAACCCUUAUUACUAGUUGCUACCAUUAAGUUGAGCACUCUAGUGAGACUGCCCGGGUUAACCGGGAGGAAGGCGGGGAUGACGUCAAAUCAUCAUGCCCCUUAUGUCUAGGGCUACACACGUGCUACAAUGGCUGGUACAGAGAGAUGCUAAACCGUGAGGUGGAGCCAAACUCUAAAACUCAUCCCAGUUCGGAUUGUAGGCUGCAACUCGCCUACAUGAAGUUGGAGUUGCUAGUAAUCGCGAAUCAGAAUGUCGCGGUGAAUACGUUCCCGGGUCUUGUACACACCG